rnacentral:rRNA from 1 species
UAGGGAAUCUUCGGCAAUGGGGGGAACCCUGACCGAGCAACGCCGCGUGAGUGAAGAAGGUUUUCGGAUCGUAAAGCUCUGUUGUUAAGGAAGAACGAGUGUGAGAAUGGAAAGUUCAUGCUGUGACGGUACUUAACCAGAAAGGGACGGCUAACUACGUGCCAGCAGCCGCGGUAAUACGUAGGUCCCGAGCGUUGUCCGGAUUUAUUGGGCGUAAAGCGAGCGCAGGCGGUUAGAUAAGUCUGAAGUUAAAGGCAGUGGCUCAACCAUUGUAGGCUUUGGAAACUGUUUAACUUGAGUGCAGAAGGGGAGAGUGGAAUUCCAUGUGUAGCGGUGAAAUGCGUAGAUAUAUGGAGGAACACCGGUGGCGAAAGCGGCUCUCUGGUCUGUAACUGACGCUGAGGCUCGAAAGCGUGGGGAGCGAACAGG